rnacentral:lncRNA from 1 species
UGGCUUGCUGCCUCCCCCGGUCCUGGAUUCGCUUGGUACGAGUGCCAUUUGGAUCUACUAAAGCGUGUAAGCUGUAAAAUAGAACCCGCUCUGAUACCAAUUGUUAGUUCUUAGUAGGCACAAGUUAUCUAGAAGGGGGGUUGAAUAGAUAUUUGAAAAUCUUUUCUAUUUUAAACUUGUUCUUAGAUAGUGAUUAAAACUUAGCGG